GGAUUACCCUUUGCAUUUGACAGCAGAGUUCAGGCUUAACCCUUAACCUCUUCAGGCUCGGAGGACCCUGGGCAGGAGAGAUUUAAGAACACCGUCCCCCCGCUUUCGCGGAAAGGCCAAGAGUGACUUGAAAUGUAGACGCGGAGGCCUAUGGGAAAUGCAGUUUUAAAUAGGUGAGGUUCACCGCCUGGACUCUGGGAAGGGGACGCCACGCUCCUUCUGCGCAUGUGCAGCCGUAGCCUCCUCGUUUGUCUUCUCAGGACUCCAGAGAACCGUUGGGGAACUUUGGGGUGUGCUCGGAAAAUGCAGGGUGCGCACCUAGGGCGAGGGACUAGCUGGGAAGGGUGUGCCUGUGCUUGGGGAUGGGAGCAGGAAGUGUCUGGGACCUCGUCGCCCCCCGCGGCGGUGUAUAAACCCGGGCGGGCCGUCAGAGUGGUUAAGGCCGAUGGGGGAGACCCCGGCCCUCGGGAUCCCGGGGCGCAGGUGUUCGGGGCGGUCCGGGAUGCCCGAGGAUCGUGUGACCAGCCCGCCUGCAGCCCGACCGGAGAGAAGCCCGUGUCGGCGGCGGUGGGUGCGGGAGGGAGGAGUGCGUUUAUCAGGCGGACGGUGACCCGUGGGUCUGCGGUGGAGCCCGAGCUCUGGAGCACUACAGGCCCGGUCAGUGCCAGCUCUGUCACCUGUAAGCAGGGGCGACAGAAGGAACCUGGGCGAGAGUCAGGGUUCUCAUCUAUAAAUAUUAAUAAUGAUUGUUUCACGGCGGCGUUUGGAAACAUAGAUCACUAUUUUAGACAAGUGCCAGCUGAACCACAGUCCUCUGUACUCGCCCAGGAGCCACAGAAAGUGAACAUCCCUCAGAUUCCACCUGCCACCACUGGAGGAGGUUCAGGAGCUGUGUAUUCUGAGCCUGCUGUGAUCCCUGGUGUCUGUGCUUGUCCUUUGGAAUCUAUGCUGACAGGACCCAUCUGCGAUUGCCUGCUUGUAGCUGCUGCUUUGCUAAUGUAUGCACGGGCACUCUAGACGGGGUCCCUUGCUCUGGCUGACUGGCUGAGCUUGUGAGCCCAGCAGGGGGAGGGGCACUUCUUUUGCAUGUGCCAUCCCGUGGGUGUUCUCUCUUUGCCCUUGCUGUCUGUCCUCCUGGCGUGCUGGCUUCAUGAAGACAACCCCACAAUAGCUUAGCCUCCUCUGUGGAGCUUUCCUAUGGGAUGUGAGGGAACUUGGAGAGCAAAGGCAUUCCCACAGAGUCUCCCCCCAGGCCCCUCUUUUCUCAGAGCUGUGCAUGGUCCUGUGCCCUAGGUCAUUGCUGGGGAGGGAGAGGAGAUCCCCUUACUUCCUCCUUCUUCCUCCUGGGGGGUCCAGCACCUCCACCUUCAGACAUAUGGCUGCAUGGGUCUCUCAGAUGUCUUUUGUGUUGUGUGCCUGUCCUCUUUUGGUUUAUGAAUGUCCUUUUCAUUGUUUCUUAGGGAGGAGAGUCUAAGGGAAGAUCUCACUCCGCCGUGAUGCUGAUGUCAUGCCUGGUCAUUCUAUUUUUAAGUUUUUGAGGAAUCUCUGUACUGUUUUCCACAGUGGCUGCACCAAUUUACAUUCCCACCAGCAGUGUAUGAGGGCUCCCUUUUCUCCCAUCCUCUCCAACACUUCUGUUUUCUUUGUAAAGAUUGUCACCUGAGCUAACAUCUGUUGUCUAUCUUUUUUUCCUUCUUGUUCUCCCAAAACCCUCCCAGUACAUAGUUGUAUAUUGUAGUUAUAUGUCCUUCUGGCUGUGCUGUGUGGGAUGCCACCUCAGCAUGGCUUGAUGAGU
ensembl:lncRNA